AGGUUAAUGAUUUUAGAACAAAGGCGGCGGUUGCUGAAGCCAAGCAACGACGGCCAUUUAAAAAACAAAUUAGGUCACUGCUACCAUGAUAGAUUUGGGUUUUUAACAUGGUACCAGCGACCUAAUCUGGGCAAUAGAUGGAGUGGUUCUAACCCUUUAUAUACUACUUAAUAAUUUCUCCAAGUUUCGAUGUGGGAUUUUCUUCAUUAACACCCUUCUUACGUUCAGAUAUUAUUGGCUCUGAAGCGUAGAUAUAUGUUGAAACAACAUCCACUGGAUGAUCCAACGAUUGGAUGGUUCUAAUACCAUGAUAUAAUUAAAAAGAACUUGAUUUAUUCAUUAACAUAAGAAGAGUAUUUAUA
rnacentral:sRNA from 1 species